AAUAAACGCUGGCGGCGUGCCUAAUACGUGCAAGUCGAACGGGGAAAGCUUUCGGGUGAGUACUAGUGGCGCACGGGUGAGUAACGCGUGGAUAAUCUGCCUUAGAGUGGGGGAUAACUAGUCGAAAGAUUAGCUAAUACCGCAUAAGACCACAAGAACUGCGGUUCAAGGGGUCAAAGGUUUUUCGCUCUAAGAUGAGUCCGCGUAAGAUUAGCUAGUUGGUGAGGUAAUGGCUCACCAAGGCGACGAUCUUUAACUGGUCUGAGAGGAUGGUCAGUCACACUGGAACUGAGACACGGUCCAGACUCCUACGGGAGGCAGCAGUAGGGAAUAUUGCACAAUGGAGGAAACUCUGAUGCAGCGACGCCGCGUGAGUGAUGAGGGCCUUCGGGUCGUAAAGCUCUGUCGCAAGGGAAUAACACAAUGAAUGUACCUUGCAAGAAAGGAUCGGCUAACUUCGUGCCAGCCGCCGCGGUAACAC
rnacentral:rRNA from 1 species